UUCGCAAUGCCCGAAAGGGUGACGAAGCGACGCCGCGUGGGUGAGGAAGGCCCUCGGGUUGUAAAGCCCUGUCAGGAGUUAAGAAAUGUAAGUGCGCUAAUAUCGCAUUUAUUUGACGAAGGCUCCAAAGGAAGCCACGGCUAACUCUGUGCCAGCAGCCGCGGUAAUACAGAGGUGGCAAGCGUUGUUCGGAAUUAUUGGGCGUAAAGAGCACGUAGGUGGGUCUGUAAGUCAGAUGUGAAAGCCUUCUGUUCAACGGAAGAAUUGCAUCUGAAACUGCAGGUCUUGAGUGUAGGAGGGGAGAAUGGAACUUCUGGUGGAGCGGUGAAAUGCGUAGAUAUCAGAAGGAACGCCGGCGGCGAAAGCGAUUCUCUGGCCUAUUACUGACACUCAGUGUGCGAAAGCUAGGGGAGCAAACGGGAUUAGAUACCCCGGUAGUCCUAGCCGUAAACGAUGGGCACUAAGUAGA
rnacentral:rRNA from 1 species